CAGUCUCAGAACUAAAAUUUGCGGUUUACUUUUCAACUUUUCUAGCUCUUCUUUCCUCUCUCCCUCCUCCUUUUUUUUUUUUUCUGAAAUUAUGGUUUGAUUUGUCACAAAUCAUUUCAGUAUUCUCCAAAUCACAUUUCUGAUGAACUGACUAUUCAAAAACAUUGCUCAAUUCUACCCAGUGGGAUUAAUUUGUCACCAGGCUUCCCAGAAAGGAUGCUGCUUCAUACUCACUUGGAGAAGCUUGGAGAAGUCAGAAAAUGACACUGAGAGGCUGAUGGGUUUUUAAGACUACAGCUGGGAAGAAUUUUAUUCUCUAUGGAAACACACACCAGGAAUAGUACCCUGAAAGGAAAACCUUAAUGACGACUUCUCAUGUUGUCUUUCCAUCAUGGCUGCAAGGAGUCAGAGAAAAUUAGCACUCAGAAUCAGAUGCUACAUUCAUUUCUCAAAUGUUACACAAGUGUUUUUCAAAUAAUUUUUCUCAGGUCUAUUAUUACAGCUGUUACCUGGACUGGCCUCCAUCCCAUAAUUUACUUUUUUCACAUCAUUGCUUCUUUGCUGUAA
rnacentral:lncRNA from 1 species